rnacentral:rRNA from 1 species
UACAGAGGGUGCGAGCGUUAAUCGGAAUUACUGGGCGUAAAGGGCGCGUAGGCGGUUAUGUAAGUUAGAUGUGAAAUCCCCGGGCUUAACCUGGGAAUGGCAUUUAAUACUGUAUGACUAGAGUAGAGUAGAGGGAAGUGGAAUGGCUGGUGUAGCGGUGAAAUGCGUAGAUAUCAGUCGGAACACCGGUGGCGAAGGCGGCUUCUUGGGCCGUUCCUGACGCUGAGGCGCGAAAGCUGGGGGAGCGAAC